CUCGGGCUACGCCCUCGAUACGCGCAUGCGCGUCGGAGGCCGUCGCGCCACCCCGCCCCCACCCCACUUCCUCCCGGCCUUCUACAUCCGGGUAUUUUGAGGAUUUGUUGUUUUUCAGGGAUUUUUGUUUGUAGGGUGGAUAAUUGGUUGGUUUUGGGCUUUGAUUUUUUGAGGCAGGAACUAGCUAUGGUAGCUCAGUCAGGCCUCAAACUCGCAGCAAUUCUCCUGUCUCUGCUGCCCUAGUACUAGGAUUACCGGCCUGUGCCGCCACGCCCACCUCUGUUUUCCUUUGUUCUUUUGGGUUUUUUACUUUUUUUUUUUAACUUCCUCUUUUCGAUCUUGAAUUUGGGGGGAAAGGCGAGGUCGCAGAUAAUUUAGCGGGCUCAACUGGCGCAUCAGGGGCACGGAAGACCACGGCGACCCGCCCAACGCCCUUCCCCGGAGCAGCUGCGACCUAGCUGUCCGGGAGCUUGGGAGGGGACAUCACAUGGCCGGGAAAAUGCAGUUUUAAUAUGGAAAGGGUGCUUUAACUUCCUUAUUUGAGCUAGUAAAGGUAAUUGGAGUCGAGACAGAAAUUCCAAGACGACUGCAUUCUUACUUUGAGGAGUAAGAAUGAUGAUAGAUCUGUUUUAUAUAUAUAUAUAUAAAUUGUGUGUUCCUGGUGCAUGUGCAACGUGUUGGGUGAUGGAGCCCACAGAGGUCAGAAGAGAAGUCAGAUCACUUGGAACCAGUUACAGGCGGUUGUGGGCAACAAGCUUCGGGUUCUGGGACCUCAGCUCUGUAACACAGCAAAAGCCUUCUUAAUAAUGAGCCGUUUCUGCAGCCUAAUACGUCUGUCCUAAGAAAAAUGUGAUUAGCGCAGGACCUUUAAACUUAUUUCCAGGACAGAUCCCAAACAUUCAUCGUCAUAAAGCAUAACAGUGACCUUGAAAAUGGUAGGUAGCCGGGCGGUGGUGGCGCACGCCUUUAAUCCCAGCACCCGAGAGGAAGAGCGGGCAGAUCUCUGUGAGUUCGAAGCCAGCCUGGUCUACAGAUUCUAUUUCUGGCUGGCUAACUGUACUUGUUAACUGAAGUAUGUCAACCAUGAUAAUUUUUUUUGUACUUAAAAGCUCAUCCUGAGAAAGAAAAGCUUGGACUACCCUUGGAUCCCAAACACGCAGUGUAAUCAGUCACUGGAUGGUUAAUAAAUACUUUCCAUUGGCUUUAA